ensembl:lncRNA
CAAGACGCUGCCUUAGUAAGGGAAGCCAAACGGGUAGGAUCUUCAACCACCACUUGCCUGAGGGCUCUGUGAACUUGUUUUUUUUUAGUCUUGGUUGUGUGCUUUACUCAUUGUCACCUGUGUAUUCAGGCACACCCAACUUUUCCCAACCUCAUGGUGUGUGUUUUGUUUUUGCAACAGGAAUGGGCAUUCAUUUCUCUGUCUUUCCCAAGACAGAUGGAGGGGGUUCGAUUAACCCUGCCCCGGGUACCCGUGUAGGCACGUUUGCAUCAGCUGAAAGUUGACUGCAUUCGAUUUGGAACCGGGCUGCCUCCCGUGUGUGAAACAGGUGCCCAAGUCUCUUGGGAGAGCAGAUGCUUUGCCUUCUGGCCCAGGGCCUCAACGUUCCAUCUCAAUAACUUUGACACCUUUAAGAAACAGAAGAUGCUCUACAGGAAUGCAAAGUACAUCAAAAUCAUCUUGACUCCUGGACCCUGUCCUGCAUUUCAAGGCUGCAAUGAGACAAUGGCUUAUCAGUGACCCAAGCCCUGCUCAGUAAAUCUCUACCAUUGUGUUGCUGAGUUGUCGUAGUGCUGCUGCAAAUGUACAUUGCCCUAGGGGCGUUGGCAGUCACAAUGUAAGUAACCUAAUUUAUGUCCCUCUAACUCCUCUGAAUGGUAGAGACAAGCACAAAGACAGGUCAAACAGAUCAGGGUGUGACAGUGUGCAGUAAUCAUGUGCCCAUGAACCUGAGUUUCAUUGAUAGCACUGGGGCAGUUGGCCCUACUAGGAAGUCCACUGAGUGCAGCUCAC